GCUGAACUUAAGCAUAUCAAUAAGCGGAGGAAAAGAAACCAACAGGGAUUGCCCUAGUAACGGCGAGUGAAGCGGCAACAGCUCAAAUUUGAAAUCUGGCGCAAGCCCGAGUUGUAAUUUGUAGAGGAUGCUUCUAGGUAGCGACCGGUCUAAGUUCCUUGGAACAGGACGUCAUAGAGGGUGAGAAUCCCGUAUGUGACCGGCCCGCACCUUCUACGUAGCUCCUUCGACGAGUCGAGUUGUUUGGGAAUGCAGCUCUAAAUGGGAGGUAAAUUUCUUCUAAAGCUAAAUACCGGCCAGAGACCGAUAGCGCACAAGUAGAGUGAUCGAAAGAUGAAAAGCACUUUGGAAAGAGAGUUAAAAAGCACGUGAAAUUGUUGAAAGGGAAGCGCUUACAACCAGACUUCUGGGCGGUGUUCCGCCGGUCUUCUGACCGGUCUACUCACCGUCCCGAGGCCAACAUCAUCUGGGACCGCCGGAUAAGACCUUAGGAAUGUAGCUCCCCUCGGGGAGUGUUAUAGCCUGUGGUGAUGCGGCGCGUCUCGGGUGAGGUCCGCGCUUCGGCAAGGAUGUUGGCGUAAUGGUUGUCAGCGGCCCGUCUUGAAACACGGACCAAGGAGUCUAACAUCUAUGCGAGUGUUCGGGUGUCAAACCCCUACGCGUAAUGAAAGUGAACGGAGGUGGGAAGGGUAACCUGCACCAUCGACCGAUCCUGAUGUCCUCGGAUGGAUUUGAGUAAGAGCAUAGCUGUUGGGACCCGAAAGAUGGUGAACUAUGCCUGAAUAGGGUGAAGCCAGAGGAAACUCUGGUGGAGGCUCGCAGCGGUUCUGACGUGCAAAUCGAUCGUCAAAUUUGGGUAUAGGGGCGAAAGACUAAUCGAACCAUCUAGUAGCUGGGUCCUG
rnacentral:rRNA from 1 species